UACGUAGGGUGCGAGCGUUAAUCGGAAUUACUGGGCGUAAAGCGUGCGCAGGCGGCUAUUUAAGCUUGCCGUGAAAGCCCCGGGCUUAACCUGGGAACUGCAGUGAGGACUGGAUGGCUGGAGUGUGGCAGAGGGGGGUGGAAUUCCACGUGUAGCAGUGAAAUGCGUAGAGAUGUGGAGGAACACCGAUGGCGAAGGCAGCCCCCUGGGCUAACACUGACGCUCAGGCACGAAAGCGUGGGGAGCAAACAGG
rnacentral:rRNA from 1 species